CUGGGUUUAGAACGUCGUGAGACAGUUCGGUCCCUAUCUGCCGUGGGCGCUGGAGAACUGAGGGGGGCUGCUCCUAGUACGAGAGGACCGGAGUGGACGCAUCACUGGUGUUCGGGUUGUCAUGCCAAUGGCACUGCCCGGUAGCUAAAUGCGGAAGAGAUAAGUGCUGAAAGCAUCUAAGCACGAAACUUGCCCCGAGAUGAGUUCUCCCUGAGACUUAAAGUCUCCUGAAGGAACGUUGAAGACGACGACGUUGAUAGGCCGGGUGUGUAAGCGCAGCGAUGCGUUGAGCUAACCGGUACUAAUGAACCGUGAGGCUUAACCUUACAACGCCGAAG
rnacentral:rRNA from 1 species